rnacentral:rRNA from 1 species
UACGGGGGGGCAAGCGUUGUUCGGAAUUACUGGGCGUAAAGGGCUCGUAGGCGGCCAACUAAGUCGGACGUGAAAUCCCCAGGCUCAACCUGGGAACUGCGUCCGAUACUGGAUGGCUUGAAUUCGGGAGAGGGAUCGCAGAAUUCCAGGUGUAGCGGUGAAAUGCGUAGAUAUCUGGAGGAAUACCGGUGGCGAAGGCGGCAUCCUGGACCGACAUUGACGCUGAGGAGCGAAAGCUAGGGGAGCAAACGGG